rnacentral:rRNA from 1 species
CAUGCAAGUCGAGCGGAAGGCCCUUCGGGGUACUCGAGCGGCGAACGGGUGAGUAACACGUGAGCAACCUGCCCCAAGCUUUGGGAUAACCCCGGGAAACCGGGGCUAAUACCGAAUAGGACUUCCGGCCGCAUGGCUGGGGGUGGAAAGUUUUUCGGCUUGGGAUGGGCUCGCGGCCUAUCAGCUUGUUGGUGGGGUGAUGGCCUACCAAGGCGACGACGGGUAGCCGGCCUGAGAGGGCGACCGGCCACACUGGGACUGAGACACGGCCCAGACUCCUACGGGAGGCAGCAGUGGGGAAUAUUGCACAAUGGGCGGAAGCCUGAUGCAGCGACGCCGCGUGAGGGAUGACGGCCUUCGGGUUGUAAACCUCUUUCAGCAGGGACGAAGCGAGAGUGACGGUACCUGCAGAAGAAGCACCGGCCAACUACGUGCCAGCAGCCGCGGUAAGACGUAGGGUGCGAGCGUUGUCCGGAUUUAUUGGGCGUAAAGAGCUCGUAGGCGGCUUGUCGCGUCGACCGUGAAAACUUGGGGCUCAACUCCAAGCCUGCGGUCGAUACGGGCAGGCUAGAGUUCGGUAGGGGAGACUGGAAUUCCUGGUGUAGCGGUGAAAUGCGCAGAUAUCAGGAGGAACACCGGUGGCGAAGGCGGGUCUCUGGGCCGAUACUGACGCUGAGGAGCGAAAGCGUGGGGAGCGAACAGGAUUAAGAUACCCUGGUAGUCCACGCUGUAAACGUUGGGCGCUAGGUGUGGGGGACCUCUCCGGUUUCCUGUGCCGCAGCUAACGCAUUAAGCGCCCCCGCCUGGGGAGUACGGCCGCAAGGCUAAACUCAAAGGAAUUGACGGGGGCCCGCACAAGCGGCGGAGCAUGCGGAUUAAUUCGAUGCAACGCAAAAACCCUACCUGGGUUUGACUUGGCCGCAAACUCACAAAGAUGGUGAAGGCCCUACGGGGGCGGUCACAAGUGGUGC